AGACAACUUCUUGCUUGACACUGGCAUGAACCCAGUGUUGACAAUCGGCAACUUUUACGCAUACUCAACAUCACCAAGAAGAAACCAGGAGCCUGGACUGGCUCUUAAUCAUAAGGUCAAGAUGGUCCCCAAGGGUCUCGUGUUGGCAAGAGGCGUCCAUUGAAGUAUACAAUAAUGGGCUGGUUAACGACCUUAUGAAGCCAGCAAUCGACGAGGCAAGCCCACAAAUGGAUCUACCCAUGGGAUGAAUGUCCAAUUUAUUGUUGAAUGUGAUGAAGGAUAGUAGUGUUUGUCUGUUUGAUACAUCCAAAUAUGAUGUAGGUUGAUGAGCUGCUCUCGCGCGGUGUGAACGUGACAGUGUGUACCAAGGCCAGCUGGAUGUGAUAUGCUCGACAUUUGGUGCAGAAGCAUGGGUGAGCAAACUGAAGUAAGGCUACAAUCUUCCCAUUCUCGGUAGCUCUUGCAUGGCUUCUUUUAUGAUAAGAGUGUCCAUUUAAUUUAGCUAGACUAUUAAAAGUGUUUAGCCUUAAGUUUAUUUUCAGAAACAUAUAUUUUGUCAAGAAACAAUCUUAC